rnacentral:tRNA from 1 species
GCAUUGGUCGGUUCAGUGGUAGAAUCCUCGCCUGCUCACGCGGGGGGGCCCCGGGUUCGAUUCCCGGCCAAUGCA